AAAUCAUAAUUAAUCAAAAUUGAAAUAAUGAACAAAUUUUUGUUUCUUGAUAAAUUCUCAUCGUUUUCAAAUUUCCUUCAAUCAUCGGAGUCCCGACCAAAAAUAGAAAAACAAAAAUUGCCUAAAAAGUUCUGAAAAAAAUUCCGGCCAUCCCAGGAACACGCGCAACUUUUCACCUCUGUGACAUUUUAUCCUAAGCCCCAUAUAGUUCUAGGAUUACGCCACAAUUUCGGAAUCUCGUCUUUUUGCAAAAAAUCCAAUAACGGUGCGAGAAAAGAUUACAGAAAACUUUUUAAAGAAUGAACAUGAAGCUCUCGACACCCCCGUUCAGUUUUUCAUAGACAUAAAAUCACGUACGUUUGUUCGACGGUAUAUGCGACAAAUUUUCGGCUAAAUUUAAAUUUUUUUUAAAAAUACCGAAAUGAAGCCGAAUCCAUCCGAGUAUUAUGAAACGGUCAAUUGCGAACGUGAAAUUCGGCAUUCGGACAUCGGAGCGUCUCGUAAGUAGAUCCUUCUUUUCCGAAGCAACGGCAGUAUGGCCGUAGCGGCCGAAGCGACGUCGUCGGGAGCGACAUCGAUGGCUAUCGCGUACAUUCUUGGAGAGGAGGAAGAACAAGCUAAAGAGGAGAGAGAGAAAGAUGGAGAUACAUUGAGAUUUACGCUUGACAGGCAUCAAGUUUGCCUAGUUCUUCGCGAUACGGUUUAACGUUCAACUACUGUACGCACGUUGUGCCGAAAAAUUCACAUACAGGCUUUCAAUCAAUCACCACGGCGGCUAUUCCGUCGCAGUACGCAUUCAACUUCCAACCACGAAGGGCAGGAGUUAUACAUGUCCGUUCACAGGUACCCGAAGAUGCUGCCGCCGUAGCUGCUGUUUGCCC
rnacentral:lncRNA from 1 species